UAGGGAAUCUUCGGCAAUGGGGGGAACCCUGACCGAGCAACGCCGCGUGAGUGAAGAAGGUUUUCGGAUGGUAAAGCUCUGUUGUUAAGGAAGAACGAGUGUGAGAAUGGAAAGUUCAUGCUGUGACGGUACUUAACCAGAAAGGGACGGCUAACUACGUGCCAGCAGCCGCGGUAAUACGUAGGUCCCGAGCGUUGUCCGGAUUUAUUGGGCGUAAAGCGAGCGCAGGCGGUUAGAAAAGUCUGAAGUGAAAGGCAGUGGCUCAACCAUUGUAGUCUUUGGAAACUGUUUAACUUGAGUGCAGAAGGGGAGAGUGGAAUUCCAUGUGUAGCGGUGAAAUGCGUAGAUAUAUGGAGGAACACCGGUGGCGAAAGCGGCUCUCUGGUCUGUAACUGACGCUGAGGCUCGAAAGCGUGGGGAGCGAACAGG
rnacentral:rRNA from 1 species